GAUGAACGCUGGCGGCGUGCCUAAUACAUGCAAGUCGAACGACAAGACGAGAAGCUUGCUCCUUUACCGUUGGCGGCGGGCGGGUGAGUAACACGUACAUCACCUACCUCUAUUACUUGGAUAACUACGGGAGACCGGAUAUAAUAAUAGCGCAUAUAAUCUACCGCUUGGUGCAAUAGAGAAAGACGCCUUUGCUGUCACUUUUAGCCGAUUCCGCGUCGGAUUGGCUAGUUGGUAAGGUAACGGCAUACCAAGGCAACGAUGCGUAGCCGACCUGAGAGGGUGAUCGGCCACACUGGAACUGAGACACGGUCCAGACUCCUACGGGAGGCAGCAGUAGGGAAUAUUGGGCAAUGGGCGAAAGCCUGACGGAGCAACGCCGCGUGGGUGAUGAAGGUCUUCGGGUCGUAAAACUCUGUUAUUAGGAAAGAAAAGAUGUGUAAGUAACUAUGCACGUCUUGACGGUACCUAAACAAAAAGCAACGGCUAACUACGUG
rnacentral:rRNA from 1 species